GAGUGAUUUAAAACUCAUUUUUCAACCACUCCAACCUAAGUAUAUGUAAACAUCUGACUUCACCUGUAAGUUUAAAUGUGCCUUUAAGCUAGCCCUUACAGAGUUCUAAUCUAACGGAGUGUGUGUUUUCUCUACCCUGCUUAGGGAGCCUUAUUCAUUGAACCUGCAGAGCAAGAAGCUGGCCUUGGACAUCCAGAGAACCAUCCAGGGAACAACAAUCUCCAUUUCUAAGAAAGGCUGCUGCUGGUGAGGCCUGCUCCCUGACUUACAUGGCUUGUGUGGCCCACUCUGGGAUGGCUGCAGAUGAAAUAGCAGAGAAUAUUGAUUCAGCUGUCAGCACCAUCGUGACAAAACUACGCAUGAAAGAACCAUUGAUAAAGAUCAUCCACUUGAAAAGCCAAUCAGUGGAUCUGCCCAUCUACACCUCUAACCUGAGUAACCUGACCCUGAUAGAGGAAACACAGAAACAGACCAUGGCUGCCAUGGAUGCCAAGGAAAAAUGCAAGCAAACAGAAGUCUGCAAAGAAAGAACAGAAGCCUACAGAAAAGAACUCUGGUGCUGACGGGGAGGAAGAGGUUCCCAUAGUAACGCCAAGAAAAAAGGCUAAACUGGAGGUCUAUACCCCGCUAGUGUCAACCAAAUGCAUUUUAAUAUUGGAGCCUUAUUCAUUGAACCUGCAGAGCAAGAAGCUGGCCUUGGACAUCCAGAGAACCAUCCAGGGAACAACAAUCUCCAUUUCUAAGAAAGGCUGCUGCUGCAUGGCUUGUGUGGCCCACUCUGGGAUGGCUGCAGAUGAAAUAGCAGAGAAUAUUGAUUCAGCUGUCAGCACCAUCGUGACAAAACUACGCAUGAAAGAACCAUUGAUAAAGAUCAUCCACUUGAAAAGCCAAUCAGUGGAUCUGCCCAUCUACACCUCUAACCUGAGUAACCUGACCCUGAUAGAGGAAACACAGAAACAGACCAUGGCUGCCAUGGAUGCCAAGGAAAAAUGCAAGCAAACAGAAGUCUGCAAAGAAAGAACAGAAGCCUACAGAAAAGAACUCUGGUGCUGACGGGGAGGAAGAGGUUCCCAUAGUAACGCCAAGAAAAAGGCUAAACUGGAGGUCUAUACCCCGCUAGUGUCAACCAAAUGCAUUUUAAUAUUGGAGCCUUAUUCAUUGAACCUGCAGAGCAAGAAGCAGGCCUUGGACAUCCAGAGAACCAUCCAGGGAACAACAAUCUCCAUUUCUAAGAAAGGCUGCUGCUGGUGAGGCCUGCUCCCUGACUUACAUGGCUUGUGUGGCCCACUCUGGGAUGGCUGCAGAUGAAAUAGCAGAGAAUAUUGAUUCAGCUGUCAGCACCAUCGUGACAAAACUACGCAUGAAAGAACCAUUGAUAAAGAUCAUCCACUUGAAAAGCCAAUCAGUGGAUCUGCCCAUCUACACCUCUAACCUGAGUAACCUGACCCUGAUAGAGGAAACACAGAAACAGACCAUGGCUGCCAUGGAUGCCAAGG